UGCUCGUCCUGGUAUUCCUCGUCUGGGGCCCGAGCAGCCUGCUGCUCGCCGUCUACGCCGGCCUCGUGGGCGUCGUCUUCUCCCUGUACCUGAUGUUCGACACGCAGCUGAUCAUGGGCGGUCGCUACAUGGAGCUGUCCCCGGACGAGUACGUGUACGCGACGCUGAUGCUGUACGUCGACAUCGCCAACAUCUUCUGGGCGAUGCUCACGCUUUUCGGCUACUGCUGCGGCGAGUGAUCGUCCCCGCUUUUGUGUCCGAUUUAUUUGUUACGUGUCAAUUAGUACAACGUGUGUAAUCUGGCUACAUAUGGGGCCGCCGGCCACAGAGGAAAAUAAUAAAUGAAAAGGCUAGUGUCAUAAAUGAAGUAUAUGAAAGCUCGUAA